rnacentral:rRNA from 1 species
GACGGAGGGGGCAAGCGUUGUUCGGAAUUAUUGGGCGUAAAGGGCUCGUAGGCGGACGUGUGUGUCUGGCGUGAAAUCUCCACCGCUCAACGGGGAGAGGCCGCUGGAAACUGCACGUCUGGAGUUUGGCAGAGGAAUGUGGAAUUCCGCAUGUAGCGGUGGAAUGCGUAGAUAUGCGGAAGAACACCGGUGGCGAAGGCGGCAUUCUGGGCCAAAACUGACGCUGAGGAGCGAAAGCCAGGGGAGCAAACGGGAUUAGAUACCCCGGUAGUCCUGGCCGUAAACGUUGGAUACUAGGUGUGAGGGGUAUCGACCCCCCUCGUGCCGCAGCUAACGCAUUAAGUAUCCCGCCUGGGGAGUACGGCCGCAAGGUUGAA